rnacentral:lncRNA from 1 species
CACAAAUGGCUGUGGAUAAUAAAAGUAACAUACUUUUCUUAUCUUUAUUAUAUUCCUCUUCUUAAUGAUGUAUUCCUCUUGGAUACUGUGGUAUCUACAAGAAUUUUAAUAAUAUUCUCAAGGUAAUUGUGUCUGUACAUUUUUAUUGAACUGAUAUAUUUUUGAAUUUAUGAGGACUUUGAAUGUACUAAUCUGCUACACUCCUGAUAUACUUAUUUUACCUUAAUUUCAUGUUAUGUAUACAAAGUAUAUUUAUCCCACUCGAGAAGGUAUUGUUUUAUUUUAAAUUGUUGUUUAUUUCAGCCCUCACUCCUCAAGAUACCCAAGAAUAUUCCCCAGAAAAUGGCAUAAAACAUAUAUUUCACAAAGUGAUAAGUGGAAAAUAUAGAAUUUGUAACCUUAACUAUUUACAACAAAAGAAAAUAUGGAAAACUACAAUUGAGAAUGAACACCGGAAAUCAUAUAAAAAUUUAGACCUUGUUCAUCACCAGAGAAUUUAUACUGGAGAGAAGCCCUACAGAUAUAAACAAUUUGGCAAAGCUUUUAGUAAAAAAAUAGGUCUUAUUUACCACAGAAGAGCCCACACCGGAGAGAUGCCCUACAAAUGUAAAGAAUGUGGCAAAGCUUUCAGUCGAGAAUCACACCUUAUUUGCCACAGCAGAACUCACACUGGAGAGAAACCUUACAAAUGUAAAGAAUGUGGCAAAGCUUUCAAUCAAAAACCACACCUUAUUUUCCACAGCAGAAAUCACACUGGUGACAAGCCUUACAAAUGUAAAGAAUGUGGCAAAGCUUUUAGUCAAAAAUCAGACCUUUUUAGGCACAGCAGAACUCACACUGGAGAGAAGCCCUACAAAUGUAAAGAAUGUGGAAAAGCUUUCAGUCAAAAAGGAGGCCUUACUUGCCACUGGAGAACUCACACUGGAGAGAAGCCCCACAAAUGUAAAGAAUGUGGCAAAGCUUUCAGUCAAAAAUCAAACCUUAUUUGCCACAGAAGAACUCACACUGGAGAGACGCCCUACAAAUGCAAACAAUGUGGAAAAGCUUUUAGUCAAAAAUCAGACCUUUUUAGGCACAGCAGAACUCACACUGAAGAGAAGCCCUACAAAUGUAAAGAAUGUGGAAAAUCUUUCAGUCAAAAAUCAAACCUUAUUUGCCACAGCAAAACUCACACUGGAGAGAAGCCCUACAAAUGUAAAGAAUGCAGCAAAGGAUUCAGUCGAAAAUCACACCUUAUUCGCCACAGAGGAACUCAUACUGGAGAGAAGCCCUACAACUUUAAAGAAUGUGCCAAAGCUUUCAUUUGAAAAUCACACCUUAUUUGCCACAGCAGAACUUACACUGGAGAGAAGCCUCACAAAUGCAAAGUGUGUGACAAAGUUUUUACUCAAAUAUCAACCCUUAUUUUCCACAACAGAAUUCACACUGGAGAAAAGCCCUACAAAUGUAAAGAAUGUGGCAAAUCUUUUAGCCAUAAAACAGACCUUAUUCACCACAGAAGAACUCACCCUGGAGAAUAGCCCUACAAAAGUGAAUAAGUGGCAAACUUUUAAGAAAAAAUAAAACUUUAUUCACCACAGCAGAAGACACCCUGGUGAAUGUGAAGUGUAAAUAAAGUGAUAAUACUUUUAAAGAAUAACUAAACCUCAUUAACAAAAGAAUUUAUACAGAAACGAACCCCUACAAAUGAAAACAAUCUAGCAAAGCUUUUAAUAAGAAAUCAAUUCUUUUUCACCACCAAGCUAUUUAUUCUGGAAAGAAGAUAUAAAUGUAGAGAAUAUAGAAACAUUUUAAAUUAUAUAUCAUACACUACUAGACAUAAGAGAAAACACACUGGAAAGAAGCUUUACAAAUGAGACCAUUGUACCAUUCCUCUAAGAAAGAGUCAACAUAUAAUCCUCACCACAAUAACCAUAAUAGAGAAAACGUUUUGAAAUGUGAAAAUUGACAAUGUGACAAUACCUCCAAAAUUAAUUCACCAAAUCUCAGCACCUGUGGAUACAUACUGGUUAGAGAGAAUACAAAUGGGAAAAAAAAAAUCAUAACCACCAGUUUUUUAAACACUACUGAUUUUUGGAGAAUUUAUUGUGCCCAGAAAUCCUAAAAUGUUAAAUAAUAUUUUGAAAAUUUGUUCAAAUUUUAAAUUCAUUAGACAUCUGAAAACUCAUACCAUUAAUGAACAUUGAAUUUUUUUUUCCAAAAUGAAUGCCUUAUAUAAAAAUGAAACAUUUAUAAUAAAC